CAAGAGAUAGUUUAAUAAAAAGUUUGGGGGCUGGAUUAAGGUUUAAGUCCUUCAUCUUUUGA
rnacentral:tRNA from 1 species